GGAUCAAUUUAUUGGUCGUGCUAUUGUACGUACUGGUAUUAUUGAUUCCUACCUUCUGACGAACCAUGAUGUCAUUAAUUUGGUGUCAUGGGGAAUCAGGACUGUUACUUUGAAAAAAUUGGAGUGUUUAAAGCAGGCUUUCAAGCUUGAACAUAUUAGCAUGGAAUAAUGAAAUAGGAC
rnacentral:rRNA from 1 species